UUCUAUUAGAAAUAAUUAAUAGUACAAUCUGCUCAAUGAUAUUCAAUAGCCGCUAUUACUGUGCUAAGGUAGCAUAAUCAUUUGUCUUUUAAUUAAAGACUAGAACAAAAGAUUUAACAAUUCAAUAAAUUUAUUAUAAUUAAUCAUAUUAAUUUAUUUUAAAUGUAAAAAAACAUUUAUAUAAUAGGAAGACGACAAGACCCUUUUAAACUUCACUACAGUUAAACUGGGGCAGUUAAUCAAAUAUCACUUUAAUAAAAAUAUAAACAUAAGAGAUCCAAUACAAUUGAUUACAUGAUCAAGUUACUAUAGGGAUAACAGCGUUAUAUAUAUCUAAAGAUCUUAUUUAAAUAUAAAACUUGCGACCUCGAUGUUGAAUUAAUAUCCUAAAUUACUGCAACAAGUAAAUAAAGGAAGUCUGUUCGACUUUUAAAAAAUUACA
rnacentral:rRNA from 1 species